CUCGGCCGCAUAAUGUCCAGGGAACCGGCGGGAGAAGACGCGGAACGUGCGCUCCGAGGCGCGCCGGGCGCGCUGUGCUGGCGAGGGCCCCUGAUUUGCAGAUAGUAGGUAAACAAUGCUGGGAGAUGCUGGAGAUAACGCUGUGAAAAUCAACUGAAGUACAAGUUAGCCGACCAUAUCUGUGACCUUCUAGAAAAUGAACCUUGGAGCUACGUGUGAUGACAAACCUCAUUGUCUCCUUGGAAAGCAAUAACUUUUAAAUCCUUAGAUCUUCAUUUUCAGAGUCAGAAGGCAAGUUGCUUCUGUAAGUUCCAGGAAAGCAGGGACCCUAUCUGUAUCAUAGCCAUUGUGUCUCCAGUGCUUUGGUGGACAGUAGCCACUGAGUAAAUAUUUGGGCAGUGAAUGAAGCCACACAAUAGAAAGAUAAAAUCAUGGAUGGAUUCUAUAUAAUAUUGAGCCAAAGAAACUAGACACAGAGAAAAGCAUAUUACAUUUUUCAUUUCCAUAAUGUUAAAUAAUAGAUACGAUUAACUGGGGGUGAGAGAGAAUGGUUCCUUUGGGGUGGGUAGUGAUUUGGAAGGGCACAAUGGGGGCUUCUGGGAUGCUGAUCAGAGUCUCUUACUUGAUCUUGGUGGUGGUUACAGGAUGCGUCCCUUUUGUAAACGUUCAUUAAGCUAUAUAAUUAUGUGCUGUGUCAUAUAUUGUACACUUUGCUGUAGGCAUAUAUAUGUAUUUUUUAGUGUAAACUAAAUGAAAGCAACUCUGUCCAUGAAAAUAGUUACUGUUGAAUAAAGACAUAUUAGUUGAG